AGACAGAGAGAGAGAGAGAGACAGACAAAGAGCCACAGAGAGAGAGAGAGACAGAGAGAGACAGACAAAGACCCAGAGAGAGAGAGAGACAGAGAGAGACAGACAGAGCCAGGGAGAGAGAAAAAGAGACAUGAUGAAUAUUGAAGCCUAACCUAACUUCACUGGCUUUACCACCCCUCUCUCUCUGCUGGCCGUCUGGCUUUACCACCCCUCUCUCUCUGCUGGCCGUCUGGCUUUACCACCCCUCUCUCUCUGCUGGCCGUCUGGCUUUACCACCCCUCUCUCUCUGCUGGCCGUCUGGCUUUACCACCCCUCUCUCUUGCUGGCCGUCUGGCUUUACCACCCCUCUCUCUCUGCUGGCCGUCUGGCUACCACCCCUCUCUCUCUCCUGGCCGUCUGGCUUUACCACCCCUCUCUCUCCUGGCCGUCUGGCUAGCCUCAGUCAUCUAUCCACUAUGCACAUAAUUUUUGGAAAGGUGUGGAGAGGAGGUAUGAUGGAGAGAGAGAACGGUGUGGAUGAGGAGGUGUGAUGGAGAGAGAAAGGUGUGGAGGGGGAGGUGUGAUGGAGAGAGAGAAAGGUGUGGAAGAGGAGGUAUGAUGGAGAGAGAGAAAGGUGUGGAAGAGGAGGUGUGAUGGAGAGAGAGAAAGGUGUGGAGGAGGUGUGAUGGAGAGAGAGGAAGGUGUGGAGGAGGAGGUGUGAUGGAGAGAGAGGUGUGGAGGAGGAGGUGUGAUGGAGAGAGAGAAAGGUGUGGAGGAGGAGGUGUGAUGGAGAGAGAGAAAGGUGUGGAGGAGGAGGUGUGAUGGAGAGAGAGAAAGGUGUGGAGGAGGAGGUGUGAUGGAGAGAGAGGUGUGGAGGAGGAGGUGUGAUGGAGAGAGAGAAAGGUGUGGAGGAGGUGUGAUCGAGAGAGAGAAAGGUGUGGAGGAGGUGUGAUCGAGAGAGAGAAAGGUGUGGAGGAGGUGUGAUGGAGAGAGAGAAAGGUGUGGAGGAGGAGGUGUGAUGAGAGUGAGGCACAGCUACUAUACAAAAGGUACUAUACUGAAGGUCUGUACUAUACUAUAGUGUACUGAAGGUCUGUACUAUACAAAAUGUACUAUACUGAAGGUCUGUACUAUACUAUAGUGUACUAUACUGAAGAUCUGUACUGUACUAAAAUGUACUGAAGGUCUGUACUAUCCUAUAGUGUACUGAAGGUCUGUACUAUACUAUAGUGUACUGAAGGUCUGUACUAUACUAUAGUGUACUAUACUGAAGAUCUUUACUAUCCUAUAGUGUACUAUACUGAAGGUCUGUACUAUACUAUAAUGUACUGAAGGGCUGUACUACACUAUAGUGUACUGAAGGUCUGUACUAUCCUAUAGUGUACUGAAGGUCUGUACUAUACUAUAGUGUACUGAAGGUCUGUACUAUCCUAUAGUGUACUUAAGGUCUGUACUAUACUAUAGUGUACUGUACUGAAGGUCUGUACUAUACUAUAGUGUACUAUACUGAAGGUCUGUACUGUACUAUAGUGUACUAUACUGAAGGUCUGUACUAUACUAUAAUGUACUGAAGGUCUGUACUAUCCUAUAGUGUACUGAAGGUCUGUACUAUACUAUACUAUACUGAAGGUCUGUACUAUACUAUAGUGUACUAUACUGAAGGUCUGUACUAUACUAUAGUGUACUAUACUGAAGGUCUGUACUAUAGUAUAGUGUACUAUACUGAAGGUCUGUACUAUACUGAAGGUCUGUACUAUAGUAUAGUGUACUAUACUGAAGGUCUGUACUAUGCUGAAGGUCUGUACUAUACUGAAGGUCUGUACUAUAGUAUAGUGUACUAUACUGAAGGUCUGUACUAUACUGAAAGUCUGUACUAUACUAUAGUAAACUGAAGGUCUGUACUAUACUAUACUAUACUAUACUGAUGGUCUGUACUAUACUAUAGUGUACUAUACUGAAGGUCUGUACUAUACUAUACUAUACUGAAGGUCUGUACUAUACUAUAGUGUACUAUACUGAAGGUCUGUACUAUAGUAUAGUGUACUAUACUGAAGGUCUGUACUAUACUGAAGGUCUGUACUAUAGUAUAGUGUACUAUACUGAAGGUCUGUACUAUACUAUAGUAAACUGAAGGUCUGUACUAUACUAUACUAUACUAUACUGAAGGUCUGUACUAUACUAUAGUGUACUAUACUGAAGGUCUGUACUAUACUAUAGUGUACUAUACUGAAGGUCUGUACUAUACUAUAGUGUACUAUACUGAAGGUCUGUACUAUACUAUAGUGUACUAUACUGAAGGUCUAUACUAUACUAUAAUGUACUAUACUGAAGGUCUGUACUAUACUAUAAUGUACUAUACUGAAGGUAUGUACUAUACUAUAAUGUACUAUACUGAAGGUCUGUACUAUACUAUAAUGUACUAUACUGAAGGUCUAUACUAUACUAUAGUGUACUGUACUGAAGGUCUGUACUAUACUAUAAUGUACUAUACUGAAGGUCUGUACUAUACUAUAGUGUACUAUACUGAAGGUCUGUACUAUACUAUAGUGUACUAUACUGAAGGUCUGUACUAUACUAUAGUGUACUAUACUGAAGGUCUGUACUAUACUAUAGUGUACUAUACUGAAGGUCUGUACUAUAGUAUAGUGUACUAUACUGAAGGUCUGUACUAUACUGAAGGUCUGUACUAUAGUAUAGUGUACUAUACUGAAGGUCUGUACUAUGCUGAAGGUCUGUACUAUACUGAAGGUCUGUACUAUAGUAUAGUGUACUAUACUGAAGGUCUGUACUAUACUGAAGGUCUGUACUAUACUAUAGUAUACUGAAGGUCUGUACUAUACUGAAGGUCUGUACUAUACUGAAGGUCUGUACUAUACUAUAGUAUACUGAAAGUCUGUACUAUACUGAAGGUCUGUACUAUACUAUAGUAUACUGAAGGUCUGUACUAUACUAUAGUAUACUGAAGGUCUGUACUAUACUAUAGUAUACUGAAGGUCUGUACUAUACUGAAGGUCUGUACUAUACUAUAGUAUACUGAAGGUCUGUACUAUACUGAAGGUCUGUACUAUACUGAAGGUCUGUACUAUACUAUAGUAUACUGAAGGUCUGUACUAUACUGAAGGUCUGUACUAUACUAUAGUAUACUGAAGGUCUGUACUAUACUGAAGGUCUGUACUAUACUAUAGUAUACUGAAGGUCUGUACUAUACUGAAGGUCUGUACUAUACUAUAGUAUACUGAAGGUCUGUACUAUACUGAAGGUCUGUACUAUACUAUAGUAUACUGAAGGUCUGUACUAUACUGAAGGUCUGUACUAUAAUGUACUGUGUUGUUUUCUACCAUUGGUCUUUUUCUGCACUCAAAUAACCUUGUGGCCUCAUGGGGGAAUUAUUACCAAUUCUGUAUUUUUCAUAGUUUCAUAAUUAAUAACCAUUAUUUUUUUAACUCCACAGAAAAUCUGGUGUUUCUAUGUCAAAUGUUCUUUUUAAUAUUUGUUAUUCUUAUGUGAUGUAUAUAAAAUAUAAUAUUGGGACGCAAACUCAAAAUAAAUAAUACAUUUCAACUCUA